UAAAAUUGCAUAAAAUGAAAUCAUUAUCACUCAGCAACUAAAGAAGACAGCUCAGCUGAUGAAGAUCCAAGUUGUAAAUGACUGCCGAAUGGAAGCUGUAAUACAAAAGGCAACAUUAGUUCCAGAAUGGAGUCAAACAGGUUACACCAAGAAUGACUGCUGUGGAAGGAUGAUGCAGAGAAGAAAUUAACAAGCUGCUCAGUCUUGUCCUAUCAUCAUCUGUCGGGGUUCUGACUGCCCUCCUCCAAGGAACCAAACUCCUGGGUUGUUCCCUCAAGUCCAGGCUGGAAGCCUGAGAAUUUCUCUCUGGUAUUUUGUGUACACCUGUCAAAAGCUGAGAAAAAAGAGCUUCAGAAGGAUCCCACUCAAGCUCUGUGGACAGCUAAAAACCUGACCAAGCAUUCCAUUGGAGGUAGAGAGAGAUGAGUCUGCUGUUCUACACAGGAAAAUCAGCAGGAGAUUCAGCCAGAGACUCUGAGGCCAUGAGAGACACUGAACAUGCAUAAGUUGAACUGAUAGUUGUACAGCCUUGAGCAUAAACAGGAGAGAGGAAUUUGUUUUCUGUCAGAAUUGUAUUCUUCGGGAGUAGCAUAGAGAACUUCUGGUUUUCAGAAGAGAAUAACGUUCUUUUUCUUCCAACUGCUGCUUCUUCUGUUUUUGAUUGAAAAUAACUUAUUACCUAUUUUCAGAAGCA
rnacentral:lncRNA from 1 species